AGGUGGAGAGGAACACGAACACCGUCAUCCUCCUCUCUUCGACGAGAUUCGAGAGGAAGAAAAACGGGGAUUACUUUAUUAGCAAAGGAAGAGAAAGCUCGAGUCCUCGUGGUGGAGACGAGUCACGAUGCGGAAUGGUACACGCGUUGGAAGGCAGUGUGGAUGAAUGAUGAGCAGCAUCGGGAGGGGGGAGGGAGGGGAGGAGAGGAGGAGGGCCACGUUCUCCUCCUCCUCGCGUCGGCUCGAAGCGUCUCUCGUCAGUGGCGUGCGACAACAGUAGCGUCGUUCUUCCUCCUUUUCCUCGCCAAAGAACGUGGACGAAUCGACGAAGCGGCGCGUGCACUCAUCGCGGAAACGGGGAGAUUGUUGGACGCCUCGAGUCCACGAAGCGGAACGACGACGUUGCUGCCGCGACGACGAGCAUCACGAUGUUCUCGACCCAACACCACCAACGAUCCGGGGCACACGCGCGAGAAACGUGAAGCGUCACAUGAUCUCCGCUACGACGACGGAUCACGAUGCGACACCUUUCGCGACACCGAGAACAAAGCAGGAACAAGAGGAAGAGGAAGGAAGAGGAGGAGGAGGAAGAAAGAGAAAGAGAAGAGAGAGAGAGGAAGAAGGAGAAGGAGGAGGAGGAGAAUUGGUUGCGUGCGGAUCGGUGGAAACGUCGCCGAGGAGAGGAUACAGCGUAUUCGCCGGUGGCGCGGAUCAAAAGAGAGAAAAAGAGAAAGGAAAAAAGGAAAAAGAGAAUGGUAACGCCGGUUUCUCCUCCUUGGUUGGCCGGGGAGCGGCUAUGGCGGUGGCCUGGCUCUUACUGCUGGUGCUGGUGGUGCUGGUGCUGCUGCCGGUGCUGCUGCCUGCUGCUUCCCUUGGUGCGGGGGAAACGAUUAUCUCGCAGCAUCCCCAUCGCGCAGGACCGAUCCGUGGCGGCGCGACCGCCGAGUGUCGGACGAAGAUGCCGAAAAAGAGAGUGAGCCAAGUGGACGAAAGAGGGCGCUGGUUGAACAGAGACGUACAUCCUUUCCUAACCAGUCGAAGGGUGUAUGCUCGAGCAUGGAACGGAGAGAGAGAGAGAGAGAGACAGACAGAGAGAGAAAGAGAGAGAUCAAAGCCGAAUGCUUUGAGGAUAGGGGAAGGACAAAGAUGGGAAGAGGAAGUAACGAGACGGUGAGAAUGGAUGGUGUGGAUUAAAGAGCGACGGGAACGAGGUGAAGGACAAAAAACAAGGCGGUGGGGGGGGGGAGAGGAGGGUUAGGUAAGGUCGUCGUCGCGAGGAAGCGACGGAUUUUUUUUAAUCGGCACGCGUCGUCCAUCCGUAUCGACGAAUUUUUCCUCGAGCGGAAAGAAAGGAGGGAAGAGAGUGGCGAGAAAUGAG